UGGCGGCGUGGAUAAGGCAUGCAAGUCGUGCGCUCCUGCUUUGCAGGGGAGCGGCAGACGGGCUAGUAACGCGUGGGUAGCUGCCCUCGAGACGGGAAUAAGCUACUGAAAAGUAGUCUAAUACCCGAUGGUCUCCUCCGGAGCCUUGUGCGAAGGUGGAGUAAAGCUUCGGCACUCGAGGAGGUGCCCGCGUCCUAUCAGCUUGUUGGUGAGGUAAAGGCUCACCAAGGCAUACGGGUAGGGGGUGUGAGAGCACGAUCCCCAGCACCGGCACUGAGACACGGGCCGGACUCCUACGGGAGGCAGCAGUCGAGAAUCUUCCGCAAUGGGGGCAACCCUGACGGAGCGACGCCGCGUGCAGGAUGAAGGCCUUCGGGUCGUAAACUGCUUUUAUGGCUGAUCAAGCCACAUUUUUCGUGGUUGAGAGUAAGCCAGGAAUAAGGGGACGGCAAUCGCGUGCCAGCACCGGCGGUAAUACGCGAUCCCCAAGCGUUAUCCGGAGUUACUGGGCGUAAAGGGUCCUCAGGCGGUUUAUCAAGUUUUUGGUUAAAGCCCAAGGCUCAACCUUGGAAUUGCCGGGAAUACUGAUAAACUAGAGGAGGUCAGAGGCCGACGGAACUGGUGGUGUAGGGGUGAAAUCCGUUGAUAUCGCCAGGAACACCGAAGGCGAAGGCAGUCGGCUAGGGCUCUCCUGACGCUCACGGACGAAAGCCAGGGUCGCGAAGGGGAUUAGAUACCCCCGUAGUCCUGGCCGUAAACGAUGGACACUGGCCAUUGGAAGUGUCGACCCUUUCAGUGGCGAAGCUAACGCGUUAAGUGUCCCGCCUGGGA
rnacentral:rRNA from 1 species